rnacentral:rRNA from 1 species
UACGUAGGGGGCAAGCGUUGUCCGGAUUUAUUGGGCGUAAAGAGCGCGUAGGCGGCCAUGUAGGUCCGUUGUGAAAACUCGAGGCUCAACCUCGAGACGCCGAUGGAAACCAUGUGGCUAGAGUCCGGAAGAGGAGAGUGGAAUUCCCGGUGUAGCGGUGAAAUGCGCAGAUAUCGGGAGGAACACCAAUGGCGAAGGCAGCUCGCUGGGACGUGACUGACGCUGAGACGCGAAAGCGUGGGGAGCAAACAGG